rnacentral:rRNA from 1 species
UACGUAGGGUGCAAGCGUUGUCCGGAAUUAUUGGGCGUAAAGAGCUCGUAGGCGGUUUGUCGCGUCGGCUGUGAAAACCCGGGGCUCAACCCCGGGCCUGCAGUCGAUACGGGCAAACUAGAGUGUGGUAGGGGAGACUGGAAUUCCUGGUGUAGCGGUGAAAUGCGCAGAUAUCAGGAGGAACACCGGUGGCGAAGGCGGGUCUCUGGGCCAUAACUGACGCUGAGGAGCGAAAGCGUGGGGAGCGAACAGA